CCUGCAGUGGGGGUGUCCCCCACAAUCUCCUAUAGAGUCCUGGAGGCCCAGGCUGUUGCGGCCACUACCUCACCCAGGCCCCUUGCUCUGGGCAAGAAUGCUGGGGGGUAUCUGUGGACAGAGCCCUAGACUUGGGCUCUAGCCCCAUGCUCUGGCAGCGCCUGGAGCAGUUGUCCUGCUUUCUCCCGACAGACGGCUAGCUCGGUCCACCCUGCUUCUCAUCCCGCUCUUUGGAAUCCACUACACGGUAUUCGCCUUCUCCCCGGAGAACGUCAGCAAGCGAGAAAGACUCGUGUUUGAGCUGGGGCUGGGCUCCUUCCAGGGCUUCGUGGUAGCGGUUCUCUACUGCUUUCUGAAUGGGGAGGUGCAGGCAGAGAUCAAGCGGAAAUGGCGGAGCUGGAAGGUGAACCGAUACUUCGCUGUGGACUUCAAGCACCGGCACCCGUCCCUGGCCAGCAGCGGGGUGAACGGGGGCACCCAGCUCUCCAUCCUGAGCAAGAGCAGCUCCCAGAUCCGCAUGUCCGGCCUCCCGGCUGACAACCUAGCCACCUGAGCCCGCCUGUCCUCCUCUCCUCCACACACAGGCUGGGGCUGCAGGCAGGUGCCAGCCCACGCAUGUUUGUGCCUCUUCCCUCCCCUUGGGCGGGCCCUGGACUGGAAGCUGGGCUCCCUGAGGAGACAAGGGAAGGAGGACUGGCACUGCCCCUCCCUGUGCCGCCCACCCACCAUGGUCACCUGACCCUGACCCCAGACAUGUAAAUAUUCCUCAGAGUUGGAAAAGUCCCAUCCUUUCCCUCUUUGCCCCAGGGCCCCUGUUCACCUCUGGCCAGGCCUCAGCUCUGCCUGCGUGUCUCGGCCAGCCUCAGUGAUGGCCUGACCUCAGGUGUGAGGCCUUGUGAGUUGAGGCUGAAGAGGCCUUGCUUUGGGAGGCUGGGGUGACGCCUCCCUGCAGCCCCCUCAAUGUCUGACUAUGGAUGUGGACUCCUCAGGUCUGCUGCAUCCCUGAGGCCUGCUCGAGGUCUGGCUCAGUGGCCAGAAGGUCCUUCAAUGCAGGUCAGCCCUGAGGCUCCCUCACGCUUACCCGCCAUCUUGGUAUCCAGAGAAGAGCUUCUGGAUACCAGGGCAGUGGGCCAGCUCUAGGGCUCUUCCAAUCAGAGACUUCAUUUGGGGUGGGAGCUGAAGGUCAGGGAAAGUUCUGGUGCUUUUUAUUUGUUCCAAGAAGAGCUGAGAGCCAGAAAUGUGGAUGGGAUUGGGAAGGAGAUGGAGAGUUUGAGGAAUCCAUGUAAGACCUUCACUAUCUCCAUCAUUUUCCUCCCAACUCUAAUGGGCAGGGUUCAUCUGGCAGCCUUCCCUCCUGCCCUGCUCUCCCCAUGGCCGCCUCAGAGCCGCUGUCCCCAAGCCACACCCACCAGAGAGCCCUUAAGCCUUUCCUUUCCCUAUUUCCUCUUAAAGCCAUGCCUGGGAUGAACCAGCCGCUUGCCUGGGAUGUCAGUGAACCCCGAAGCACCUUACAUCUCUGUACACCUAAGGACGGGGCCCAGGGUUCCCCACCCCUCAGUCUUGCCCCUGAAUAAUGAGGAGCCCUAGACACAGCUCCUUGGGCCUGGACUCAACUGCUGAAAUCUCUCUGAGACCUCUGCAAAGACUUCCCUCUGUGUGCCCUUGACGUUGGGUCACCCCGGGCAGCUAGGGUGUCCAGAGGAGAAGCCGCAUCCACUGUGCCCAUUAGCAGAAGCUGCUGAUGGGAGGAGCGGCAGCUCCCCAGCACCCGUCCUGGCUCCCCAUCUGCAGUUAUGCAGCCGGAGCCUCAGCAGGGCAGAACCUCGUUCAGGAAUCAAAA